rnacentral:tRNA from 1 species
GCUAGAGUGCCCGAGAGGUCGAAGGGACUUGCCUUGUAAGCAUGUACAUCACGCCGUGGGUUCGAAUCCCACCUCUAGCUCCA